GCCAAUGACGAUUUGAUCCAUGUUAUUGAGGUGUAGUGGAACUGAGACCCCGUUUUCGGGGAGAACCUACUUGGGGAAGCUGCAUUUCACAUGAAAUUAACGGAUCUCACUGAGGC